GCAACGCCGCAUGAGUGAUGAAGCUUUUCGGAUCGUAAAGCUCUGUUGUUAGGGAAGAACAAGUGCGAGAGUAACUGCUNGCACCUUGACGGUACCUAACCAGAAAGCCACGGCUAACUACGUGCCAGCAGCCGCGGUAAUACGUAGGUGGCAAGCGUUGUCCGGAAUUAUUGGGCGUAAAGGGCUCGCAGGCGGUUUCUUAAGUCUGAUGUGAAAGCCCCCGGCUCAACCGGGGAGGGUCAUUGGAAACUGCGAAACUUGAGUGCAGAAGAGGAGAGUGGAAUUCCACGUGUAGCGGUGAAAUGCGUAGAGAUGUGGAGGAACACCAGUGGCGAAGGCGACUCUCUGGUCUGUAACUGACGCUGAGGAGCGAAAGCGUGGGGAGCGAACAGGAUUAGAUACCCUGGUAGUCCACGCCGUAAACGAUGAGUGCUAAGUGUUAGGGGGUUUCCGCCCCUUAGUGCUGCAGCUAACGCAUUAAGCACUCCGCCUGGGGAGUACGGUCGCAAGACUGAAACUCAAAGGAAUUGACGGGGGCCCGCACGAGCGGUGGAGCAUGUGGUUUAAUUCGAAGCAACGCGAAGAACCUUACCAGGUCUUGACAUCCUCUGACAACCCUAGAGAUAGGGCUUUCCCUUCGGGGACAGAGUGACAGGUGGUGCAUGGUUGUCGUCAGCUCGUGUCGUGAGAUGUUGGGUUAAGUCCCGCAACGAGCGCAACCCUUGAUCUUAGUUGCCAGCAUUCAGUUGGGCACUCUAAGGUGACUGCCGGUGACAAACCGGAGGAAGGUGGGGAUGACGUCAAAUCAUCAUGCCCCUUAUGACCUGGGCUACACACGUGCUACAAUGGACAGAACAAAGGGCUGCAAGACCGCAAGGUUUAGCCAAUCCCAUAAAUCUGUUCUCAGUUCGGAUCGCAGUCUGCAACUCGACUGCGUGAAGCUGGAAUAGAUAGUAAUCGCGGAUCAGCAUGCCGCGGUGAAUACGUUCCCGGGCCUUGUACACACCGCCCGUCACACCACGAGAGUUUGCAACACCCGAAGUCGGU
rnacentral:rRNA from 1 species